AAUUGACGGGCCCGCACAAGCAGCGGAGCGUGUGGUUUAAUUCGAUGUUACACGAAGAACCUUACCAGGAUUUGACAUGCAAGUGGUAGGAAGCCGAAAGGUGACCGACCCUUCGGGGAGCUUGCACAGGUGCUGCAUGGCUGUCGUCAGCUCGUGUCGUGAGAUGUUCGGUUAAGUCCGCUAACGAGCGCAACCCUCGCUGUGUGUUAUAUGUGUCACACGGGACUGCCGGUCUUAAGCCGGAGGAAGGUGGGGAUGAUGUCAAGUCAGCAUGGCCUUUAUAUCCUGGGCUACACACACGCUACAAUGGCCAACACAAUAGGUUGCUAAGCCGCGAGGUGGCGCCAAUCCAUAAAGUUGGUCUCAGUUCAGAUUGUAGGCUGCAACCCGCCUGCAUGAAGAUGGAGUUGCUAGUAACCGCAGGUCAGCUACACUGCGGUGAAUACGUUCCCGGGGCUU
rnacentral:rRNA from 1 species